CUAACAAGGAUUCCCCUAGUAACGGCGAGUGAACCGGGAUGAGCUCAAAUUUGAAAUCUGGCGUCCUCAGGGCGUCCGAGUUGUAAUCUAUAGAGGCGUUUUCCGUGCCGGACCGUGUCCAAGUCCCUUGGAACAGGGUAUCAAAGAGGGUGACAAUCCCGUACUUGACACGACGACCGGUGCUCUGUGAUACGUCUUCUACGAGUCGAGUUGUUUGGGAAUGCAGCUCAAAAUGGGUGGUGAGUUCCAUCUAAAGCUAAAUAUUGGCGAGAGACCGAUAGCGAACAAGUACCGUGAGGGAAAGAUGAAAAGCACUUUGGAAAGAGAGUUAAACAGUACGUGAAAUUGUUGAAAGGGAAACGAUUGAAGUCAGUCGUGACUGUUGGGCUCAGCAGGUUCUGCCUGUGUAUUCCCUUCAGUCGGGUCAACAUCAGUUUUGACCGGUGGAUAAGGGCAGCAGGAAUGUGGCACCCUCGGGUGUGUUAUAGCCUGUCGUCGCAUACAUCGGUCGAGACUGAGGAACGCAGCUCGCCUUUAUGGCCGGGGUUCGCCCACGUCCGAGCUUAGGAUGUUGACAUAAUGGCUUUAAACGACC
rnacentral:rRNA from 1 species